rnacentral:lncRNA from 1 species
AUGCGGUGGUCCAAAAAGCGUCAACACGAGUCGACAACCAGUCCAUACCAGAGGUCGGUCGAUGCCCGGCAGCUAUCCCCGGGCAUGGACGACUACGGGAUGGAUGAUCGCCACAUGGAUGGUCUGGAGGGCGAUGACGGUGAUCAGCCAUCUCCUGGCGAGGCCAACUUCUCCGUCGACGUCGACGCCACGACGUUGCCCACACCAAAUUCCGAUAACCAGCCAUCUGCCAGAAGAGCGGAGUGUUGGCGACACUUCGAAUUAUUCACCGAGAUGGUUGACGAAAAAUUUCUCAAAUACUUCACCGCUAUACCUCACCUUUAUUGCUUUGCUUUGAUACUUGAUCCUCGCAAAAAGUUGGAAAUUGCCAAGGUUGCCAUGAACUCAAUAGGUGAUGCAGUGGGGCUUGAUUAUUCUGAAGCUUUUCAACAUGUCAAUAAUGAGCUCUAUAGGGUUUUCCGUCUGUACCGAACCAAGCUUGGUGGUACUCCCCGAGUUCCUGAGCAGACCUCACAAAAGAAAGCAAGCAAGUCA